UUUCCUCUUUCUCAAACUCAGAAAAAAAAAUGCUCUCUGUGAAAAUGAAACAAAUUCCAAUAGCCAUGGAAACAUAUCUCUUUCAAAUCACACGAACAAGACAUAGCCCUCUAUCGAAAUCGACACACAUUUCAUUCUUCUUCAAAAUCUAACAACUUUCCAUCCGAAAUAUCACACGACCAAGAAUCUCAGUCCUCAAUCAAACAAAACUCCACACCGUUGAACAAAUAAAGGAAACAAAAACUCCAACUUUCCAUCCGAAAUAUCACACGACCAAGAAUCUCAGUCCUCAAUCAAACAAAACUCCACACCGUUGAACAAAUAAAGGAAACAAAAACUCCACAUCAUUGAACAAAACUCAAAGUCGGAAUAAAAAAUUCACGACCCUUACGAUUAGAUCAAUGCAAAAACGCGACCAUAUUGUUACAAACAGCAACAUACCGGAAGCAUAACGUAAAAGAAAAAGCAACGAUUAAGUCAAGAAAUUUUUUAUCCAGCAGAAGAUUCGUGGAGAGAUACCUACAGGUUUGUGCUUUCUUGACUUUAUUGGAGUCGAAUUCCUCCUUCCCUUCUUUAUGUGGAUUUGGAUUGCUUAUCAGUUUGUUACUGUGGCUCUUCUUUGCUUGUGGCUACCCCUUUGAAAUGCUGUUGGAAAUUUCCUCUGUCUCCUCCUCUCUUUUUUUCGCCCCUUUUCUUAUCCCCAACUGCCCUCUUAUGUUAGACUUUUAUGGGACCAAUGACUUAAAAAGAAUUCAGUUUCAACAACUUUUAGAUCAAACAGAAAUUUUUAACAUUUUUGUGUAAACUGUCUCUGUUGUAACACUGGUGUUAUGAUAUCUUGAAAAGAAAUCUUUAUCUUUCUAGUUUUGACUCUUAGCCUUAUACCUCUUUUCAUAAAACCAUGCUAAUGUCUGCCAUAUCUUCUGCUUAUACAUGACAAAAUUCUACUGCUGGGUUGUUGUUGUCCUCAUGGAAAGAGUAUUCACGGGAUCACUUGCAAGCUUAGGAGCUUAUUUUUAUUAUUUAUUUUUUUAUGAAAUUGUAUUCAUUUUAUUAUAAAGAAGAGAAAAGACAAAACUUGAUGUCCAAGGAUUAAAUGAUAAUAUUAAAUCUGUAAAACAAAAAUUCAUGCUAUGUCUAAUUUUGAAAACUUGAAUUGUUA
rnacentral:lncRNA from 1 species